rnacentral:tRNA from 1 species
AGCCCGGUGGUGUAGCGGCCAAGCAUUCGGGGCUUUGGACCCCGAGAUCCCGGGUUCGAAUCCCGGCCGGGCUA